UCUACUGGGACCAAAUUAACAUGGCAAGGUGCUCUGUUCUUUUCUUAGAGGAGUCCACCCAGCCGUUCAGUCUGCUGCUGACAGGAGUGCCUGGAGCAACCAGACUUGGAUGGGAGAUGCUGGUGUGCCCUAAAAGAUCAGAAUAUGAGCCAGAUGCUUGCAUGGAGAAGAUUUGAACAGAUUGGUUGAAUAAAUACUCCUGUGUCUUGUACUGCUGCAGGUGAAUAUGAUGAAACUGGAGCCUGGGAGACACUUUCUGUGACAUGCUAGUCUCUUCAGGAAUUAGUGGGAUGUCGCUUUGAAAAUGUGACAUGAUAGAAACUGGUGAGCUGUGCUCUCUCAUGCAAUAAAGUUUACAUCAAGAUUGAAGUGUUUCUUCAGGUUAAUAUAGCCCAUAACUUCUAUGUGAAUUGUCCUCAAAACUACCAUUUUUUAAGUGAGAGAGCACACAAAAUAUCUUAUCUGUCUGGUCUGUGUUGGGAAAUAGUAUAAA